rnacentral:rRNA from 1 species
UACGUAGGUGGCAAGCGUUGUCCGGAUUUACUGGGCGUAAAGGAUGCGUAGGCGGAUAUUUAAGUGGGAUGUGAAAUACCCGGGCUCAACUUGGGUGCUGCAUUCCAAACUGGAUAUCUAGAGUGCAGGAGAGGAAAGUGGAAUUCCUAGUGUAGCGGUGAAAUGCGUAGAGAUUAGGAAGAACAUCAGUGGCGAAGGCGACUUUCUGGACUGUAACUGACGCUGAGGCAUGAAAGCGUGGGGAGCAAACAGG